UGGGGAAUAUUGCGCAAUGGGCGAAAGCCUGACGCAGCCACGCCGCGUGAGUGAUGAAGGUUUUCGGAUCGUAAAGCUCUGUGGAGAGAGAAGAAGAAAGCCUGUGAAGAGCAGGCCUUGACGGUAUCUCUUUAGCAAGCACCGGCUAACUCCGUGCCAGCAGCCGCGGUAAUACGGAGGGUGCAAACGUUGCUCGGAAUCAUUGGGCGUAAAGCGCACGUAGGCGGCCUUGCAAGUUGGGUGUGAAAGCCCUGGGCUCAACCCAGGAAGUGCACCCAAAACUGCAAAGCUUGAGUUCCAGAGGGGGCCAGAGAAUUCCCGGUGUAGAGGUGAAAUUCGUAGAUAUCGGGAGGAAUACCAGUGGCGAAGGCGCUGGCCUGGAGGGAGACUGACGCUGAGGUGCGAAAGCGUGGGGAGCGAACAGGAUUAGAUACCCCCGUAGUCC
rnacentral:rRNA from 1 species